rnacentral:rRNA from 1 species
GGAGUUAGCCGGUGCUUCUUCUGUGAGUGAUGUCCUUCCUGCCGGUUAUUGACCCGCAGGCCUUCUUCCUCACUGAAAGUGCUUUACAACCCGAAGGCCUUCUUCACACACGCGGCAUGGCUGGAUCAGGGUUGCCCCCAUUGUCCAAUAUUCCCCACUGCUGCCUCCCGUAGGAGUCUGGGCCGUGUCUCAGUCCCAGUGUGGCUGAUCAUCCUCUCAGACCAGCUACGGAUCGUCGCCUUGGUGAGCCGUUACCUCACCAACCAGCUAAUCCGACAUAGGCUCAUCCGAUAGCGCGAGGCCCGAAGGUCCCCCGCUUUCCCCCGUAUGGCGUAUGCGGUAUUAGCCUGGGUUUCCCCAGGUUAUCCCCCACUACCGGGCAGAUUCCUAUGCAUUACUCACCCGUCCGCCGCUCGCCACCAGGGAGCAAGCUCCCCGUGCUGCCGCUCGACUUGCAUGUGUUAGGCCUGCCGCCAGCGUUCAAUCUGAGCCAUAAUCAAACUACUGA